rnacentral:rRNA from 1 species
UACGUAGGGUGCAAGCGUUAAUCGGAAUUACUGGGCGUAAAGCGUGCGCAGGCGGCUUUGCAAGACAGAUGUGAAAUCCCCGGGCUCAACCUGGGAACUGCAUUUGUGACUGCAAGGCUAGAGUACGGUAGAGGGGGAUGGAAUUCCGCGUGUAGCAGUGAAAUGCGUAGAUAUGCGGAGGAACACCGAUGGCGAAGGCAGCCCCCUGGGCCAACACUGACGCUCAGGCACGAAAGCGUGGGGAGCAAACAGG